rnacentral:rRNA from 1 species
GAUGAACGCUAGCGGGAUGCCUAACACAUGCAAGCCGAGCGGUAUGGAUAGCUUGCUAUCCCGAGAGCGGCGUACGGGUGCGUAACACGUGUGCAACCUACCUUUAUCUGGGGGAUAGCCUUUCGAAAGGAAGAUUAAUACCCCAUAAUAUAAUGAUUGGCAUCAAUUAUUAUUGAAAACUCCCGUGGAUAGAGAUGGGCACGCGCAAGAUUAGAUAGUGGGUGAGGUAACGGCUCACCAAGUCAAUGAUCUUUAGGGGUCCUGAGAGGGAGAUACCCCACGAGGGUACCGAGACACGGACCAGACUCCUACGGGAGGCAGCAGUGAGGAAGAUUGGACAAUGGGGGAGAGCCUAAUCCAGCCAGCCCGCGUGAAGGAUGACGGGCCUAGGGAUUGUAAACUUCUUUUAGACAGGGAGAAACCUACUAUCGUGAGGGUAGCUGAAGGUACUGUAAGAAUAAGCACCGGCUAACUACGUG